GUGCCAGCCGCCGCGGUAAUACGGAGGAUGCAAGCGUUAUCCGGAAUGAUUGGGCGUAAAGCGUCCGCAGGUGGCUUUGUAAGUCUGCUGUUAAAGAGUGAGGCUCAACCUCAUAAAAGCAGUGGAAACUACAUAGCUUGAGUACGUUCGGGGCAGAGGGAAUUCCUGGUGUAGCGGUGAAAUGCGUAGAGAUCAGGAAGAACACCGGUGGCGAAAGCGCUCUGCUAGGCCGUAACUGACACUGAGGGACGAAAGCUAGGGGAGCGAAUGGGAUUAGAUACCCCAGUAGUCCUAGCCGUAAACGAUGGAUACUAGGCGUUGUCUGUAUCGACCCGGACAGUGCCGUAGCUAACGCGUUAAGUAUCCCGCCUGGGGAGUACGCAGGCAACUGUGAAACUCAAAGGAAUUGACGGGGGCCCGCACAAGCGGUGGAGUAUGUGGUUUAAUUCGAUGCAACGCGAAGAACCUUACCAGGACUUGACAUGUCGCGAAUCUUGAUGAAAGUCAGGAGUGCCUCCGGGAGCGCGAACACAGGUGGUGCAUGGCUGUCGUCAGCUCGUGUCGUGAGAUGUUGGGUUAAGUCCCGCAACGAGCGCAACCCUCGUUUUUAGUUGCCAGCAUUAAGUUGGGCACUCUAGAGAGACUGCCGGUGACAAACCGGAGGAAGGUGGGGAUGACGUCAAGUCAGCAUGCCCCUUACGUUCUGGGCUACACACGUACUACAAUGCAACGGACAAAGGGCAGCUACACAGCGACGUGAUGCUAAUCUCAUAAACCGUUGCUCAGUUCAGAUCGCAGGCUGCAACUCGCCUGCGUGAAGUCGGAAUCGCUAGUAAUUGCAGGUCAGCAUACUGCAGUGAAUUCGUUCCCGGGCCUUGUACACACCGCCCGUCACACCAUGGAAGCUGGCAACGCCCGAAGUCAUUACCCCAACCGCUUGCGGAGGGGGAUGCCUAAGGCAGUGCUGGUGACAGGGGUGAAGUCGUAACAAGGUAACC
rnacentral:rRNA from 1 species